AGAGGAUAUAUAACCCAAUUUCUCGCGAACGAAGAUCAACGACUCCGCAGGAACGUAUUUUUUGCGCGAAUUUACACGAAUUUUGGAGAACUAAAUUGUUUUCGGUCGAUCACAGCACGUCGCGAUGUCACCGUAUUUUAAUGCAGAAAAUAACGCUGUGUACGGGUGUAGCGGAAAAAAUUAAUCCGGCCGGACACGCUGAGAAAGGAAAUAAUAUUUACGAACCAAACAUGGAUGAUGCGGUGCAAUCGCCAGAGAAGAAGAACUGCACCUUUCUGUUUAAAAAACGUAAAAUUCGUAACAACGCGGCGAGAAGGCGAAAGGAAGCGGAUAACGCUGAUGACAGCAGCGAGGAUGAGACCACGGUGGUUAAAAAGGAGAAGAAGCAACGCGAUCACAAUCCUAUGAUACAAAGCACAAAUGUAAAGAAGCAGGAAGAAAAAACCGAAUAUAACGAUGAUAGUGACGAAGAUGAUGUAACUGUCACGUAUAAAAGUAAUAGAACUGCUUUGCCAGCUGGUCCGAGUGACCAAGGAGCAACAGCUAUUCUUCAGACAGAAACUGAAAAAGACAGAGAUGCUCAGGCAUUAUUUGAAAAAGCUCAAAAAAUAAAUGAGGAAUUAGAAGGAAAAGAGGAUGAUAAGAUUUAUAGGGGUUUGAAUAAUUAUGCACAAUAUUAUAAAAAGAAAGAUACUGCAGCUGGAAAUGCAUCUAGUGGGAUGGUACGUAAAGGACCAAUUAGAGCACCAUCUAAUCUCAGAGCAACCGUGAGAUGGGAUUAUCAACCUGAUAUAUGCAAAGAUUACAAAGAAACUGGUUUCUGUGGUUUUGGAGAUAGCUGUAAGUUUCUUCACGAUCGAUCAGAUUAUAAAUUGGGAUGGCAAUUGGAAAGAGUUGCUGCUACUGGAGAAAGUAAUAGUGGAGAUGAAGACGAUAAAAAAUAUGAGAUUGACAGCGAUGAGGAUAACUUACCAUUUAAAUGCUUUAUUUGUAGAAACAGUUUUACAGAUCCAGUUGUUACAAAAUGCAAGCAUUAUUUUUGUGAAAAAUGUGCUUUGGAACAUUAUAGAAAAAGUACACGAUGCUAUGUUUGUAAUACCCAAACUAAUGGCACUUUUAAUCCUGCAAAAGAACUCAUUGUACGAACUAAAAUGGAGGAGAAAGAAAAAAUAACUGCAGCAAGCGAAGACGACUCUGACGACGAUUAACAAAAAUAAAAUAAUCCCUUCCAAACGUGAAAUUUUAUAAUGAUUAAUAUAUAAUAUGAAUAGAAAUUGUAAUCGUUAACAUAGAUUACUUUGAUAUAUGUUGCCGACAUAUAUAAUGUACUUAUAUUUUAUGGAACAAUUAAUGUAUACUCUAUUUCUUUGGCCGGAAUCAGUCUCUUAGAGUUUAGAAGCCGUUCCGCUAAUAAUUAUCGGGCUAAUGAUUCGCAGGGGAGACCCCUGAUCGGGGUGAAGGCGCUACAUGUUGGGGCAUCGCGACGCGAAUCGAUACACGGCGCAGGCGGCGUGUCGACGGCAGUGUUGUUUCCCUCCAUACCGUGAAAAUGUCACAAUCGCUUUUCACGGGCCGCUCCUGCCGGGACAGAGUUCCGGUGUCCCCGCCUUGCUCGCGGCGCGCGAACGCGAUAUAGGAAUCGCGCGAGAUAAAUCGGACGGCAGAAAUCAAGCGAUCUCAUUCGGAAAGAGGCGUCGCGACCGAUCACCGCGUUUCGCGGCGAAAUCACCUCCUGCUACGCCGAGAGAGAAUCGAUUCUCGACAAAAGGACACGGCGCGCAAAAGGACGCGGACUCUACGCGGUGUUGGUCCUGGACUGCGCCGCAUUUUAUUUCGACGAAGAAGCAUUUUGUUAUUCGCGAAAAAAAGUUUAUUAUCGCACCUUUGUUAAUAACGAGAGAAUCUACGUAUUUCUGAGUGCUGGGUGAUUCGCUUCGCGAAAGGUUUAACGCGAGAUCGCGCGGUGAUUGUGGGUUGCGGUUGAGGUAGGUCUUGGCGUCGCAACGACCAAGAAAGAGAGAUGGAAGAAUUUUACUGAAAGAUACCAAAGAUAUCAACUUUAGAAUUAAGAGAGAUAAUGACGUGGGAUAUCAUAAUGUUCAUUAAUAUAUCUACUCUCCUAUCUGUAUAUCUAUAUAUUACUCGUUAUGUAAAUAUUUAAAUUAUAAAUUUUGACGUUAUUAAUCCACGUCUACGACAUGAAAGUGACUAGUCAUCAGUGAUCGACGGAUCAUCAUUUUACAUCUGUCUAUACCCGGUCUAUACGUACGGAAUCGUCGUAUACGAUAUUGUUACGUAAAUUUAUUCGCGCGUUCGAUCAUAUUCGCACUCUGUCGCUGACGUAUAUGUCGCAUGUAAGGACGCGAGGGUGACUUUGUGACGAGUGAUCGACUGCAGCUGUUGACGAAGAAGUAGACGUCACACACGGCUGCUGAAUAAAACAGCAGUCUCUGAAGAGUAGUAUCAUCUUCAAGUCAAAGUGCUCCAAGUGCUUAGA